rnacentral:tRNA from 1 species
GCGUCGGUGGCGGAGUGGUCAAUCGCAAAAGACUGUAAAUCUUUCGCCCAUUGGGCUACGCAGGUUCGAAUCCUGCCCGACGCA